UCCAGACUCCUACGGGAGGCAGCAGUGGGGAAUAUUGGGCAAUGGACGCAAGUCUGACCCAGCAACGCCGCGUGAAGGAAGAAGGCUUUCGGGUUGUAAACUUCUUUUAAGGGGGAAGAGCAGAAGACGGUACCCCUUGAAUAAGCCACGGCUAACUACGUGCCAGCAGCCGCGGUAAUACGUAGGUGGCAAGCGUUGUCCGGAUUUACUGGGUGUAAAGGGCGUGCAGCCGGGAAGACAAGUCAGAUGUGAAAUCCCGCGGCUCAACCGCGGAACUGCAUUUGAAACUUUUUUUCUUGAGUAUCGGAGAGGUAAUCGGAAUUCCUAGUGUAGCGGUGAAAUGCGUAGAUAUUAGGAAGAACACCAGUGGCGAAGGCGGAUUACUGGACGACAACUGACGGUGAGGCGCGAAAGCGUGGGGAGCAAACAGGAUUAGA
rnacentral:rRNA from 1 species